GACGAACGCUGGCGGCGUGCUUAACACAUGCAAGUCGAACGGAAAGGCCCUGCUUUUGUGGGGUGCUCGAGUGGCGAACGGGUGCGUAACACGUGAGUAACCUGCCCUUGACUUUGGGAUAACUUCAGGAAACUGGGGCUAAUACCGGAUAGGAGCUCCUGCUGCAUGGUGGGGGUUGGAAAGUUUCGGCGGUCGGGGAUGGACUCGCGGCUUAUCAGCUUGUUGGUGAGGUAGUGGCUUACCAAGGCUUUGACGGGUAGCCGGCCUGAGAGGGUGAACGGCCACAUUGGGACUGCGAUACGGCCCAGACUCCUACGGGAGGCAGAAGUGGGGAAUAUUGCACAAUGGGCGGAAGCCUGAUGCAGCAACGCCGCGUGCGUGAUGACGGCCUUCUGGUUGUAAACCGCUUUCGCCUGUGACGAAGCGUGAGUGACGGUAAUGAGUAAAGAAGCACCGGCUAACUACGUG
rnacentral:rRNA from 1 species